rnacentral:rRNA from 1 species
UACAGAGGGUGCAAGCGUUAAUCGGAAUUACUGGGCGUAAAGCGUGCGUAGACGGUUGCGUAAGUCAGAUGUGAAAGCCCCGGGCUCAACCUGGGAAUUGCAUUUGAGACUGCGUAGCUAGGGUGCGGAAGAGGGAAGCGGAAUUUCCGGUGUAGCGGUGAAAUGCGUAGAUAUCUGGAGGAACAUCGGUGGCGAAGGCGGCAUCCUGGACCAUGACUGACGCUGAGGAGCGAAAGCCAGGGGAGCAAACGGG